rnacentral:ncRNA from 1 species
GACGACGACAGCCUUGCUCGACGUUGGUAUGUUGAAUCGACGCCUCGAACAUCGCCUCCCACUCCGUCUCGCGGAUGUCCUCGAUGGGACGCUGCUGCUGCAUCUGUUGCCAGUUGAGGUUGGCAUUGUUGAAGGCACGCUGCUCCAUGUCGAGGUGCGCCUUGUACCCAGACGCCUCGCGUCUUGGAGCCUUGAACUGCGCGGUGUGCGCCGUCGCAUCUUGUUCGACCGCGUACUUGUACUGCGCACAUGCUUGAUGCAUCUGGCGCUGCUCCCACUCAAAGUGGGCUUGACGCCGGUCUGCCUCGAUGCGCUCGCGAUGCACCGCCAUUUGCAGCUCGUGCUGUUGUGGGGCAUUCUCGCGCGCGCGUACAUGAUCGGCACACCCUUGGCCCAGCGCCUGCACAAGCGCAGCGUAAACGUGAUGAUGGAACGAGGUUUGUUGUGACAGUGCGACACGUUGUCCACCGUGAAUUAUACCCAUCAACAACUGUCGGCCGUGGAAGGCUGGCACUAGGCCCGGUUGUCGGGUCGUUGUCGUUGGCACUCCAUGGUAGUAGGGCGCGACGAUGGACAUAACCAUCGACGAGCCACUACCCACCCGCGACGACUGUCGCGCUUGUCGGCAGUAGGACUGUGCUGGGAGACCACCGUAGGUGUGACGGAGCUGGAGCCUGGGCGUGUACCUCUAUACCACAUCGUGGUAUUACCAUCGCAAAGGUAUAUUAUUCGACGGACCGACUACCUUCGAAUUCGAUCGUCUUGCCUUUUAUACUACAGGACCUUUCCCCAAAGGUCGUCAGCUUUAGUUAGCUUUUAAAUAGUUCACUUUUACAUUUACCUAACAUUGGAUCUACUCCUUUCUUGCUGUGUUCUUCUUGGCCAAGCCGAGAGUAUCCGGUCCUGAAGUCCGAACCUCCGGACCUUCGUAACUUUUGUGCGUCUAACCCCUACGACCGUCACAAAAAUGGUGGAGAAGCAGGGUAACUCUCCUGCCAAACCAAGAAAUCCAGCACACCUGGAUGAGCAAAGGCCUCUCGAUCCAUCUCCCGUCCAAGCAAUCGCAAACGACACGGAUGUCGCCUCAGCCGUCCCAGCCCCGACCGAUACGAGACUUGACCUCGUGAGCGUGGCUGACGACGAAGUCCUCCCUAGCAGCAGCUCUGAUGAAGAGUGUAAAAGUCAGCCUGAACUUGCCCAAGGCACCCCUGUCCAGAAACAGUUGAAGCGAGACAUCAACUACCGAAUCCAACACCACUCCAACUCGCCCGAACAAAACGAGACUUGGAGAAACGAAGCAAAGCGGCCGAAGACUCGAACGAGGCCGCCGAUACUAUCUCGACUACUGCUCGUCGUGAACUGGUUUCUCUCCUCGUCGACGACGAGAGUGAUCUGUCUAUGGAGCCCCGAAGUUCGUCCGAAGAGCUUGUAUACACAGACGAUAUGGCUGAAGCUAGCUCCGAUGAAAACAAGUCAGACGAGUCCAUGUUGACCGAGGGUAACGAUGACGAGACGCUGACCAAGUCUGUGGACCCGCUGACCUCUACAAGUCCAAUUGCGCGCUUAGACUCGAACGACUCGUACACCUCGCCAAGUCCUACGCCUGGGACGUUAUCGCUACUGACCUCUGACGUGCAGUCUGCGACUGAAACAAUUAAUAACUUGGCUCAAGUGUCCUCCCACGCCCAUGGUGUACCCGUCUUGAUGGAAUCUACGCAUGUGGUGACGACUCGCACCGUCCAGCGUUCAUAGCGACGUUGCUUUUUGAUUCUUCGAUGUCGGCUCUUCCUAUCAUUGCGAAGUAGAAUUCGCCAAUUGUUGGAUUGUUCACCCACUAAUAGGGAACGUGAGCUGGGUUUAGACCGUCGUGAGACAGGUUAGUUUUACCCUACUGAUGAGUUCGUUGUCUAAACAGUAAUCCGACCCAGUACGAGAGGAACCGUCGGUUCAGAUAAUUGGUAAAUGCAGUUAGCUGAAAAGCUAGUGCUGCGAAGCUACCAUCUGUAGGAUUAUGGCUGAACGCCUCUAAGUCAGAAUCCAUGCUGGAAUAGACGAUAAUCACCUUUCCUGAUGUACUAAGAAUAACUAUAGGUACACUUUUGUGUAUCCAACAUCAUAAAAUUGCAACUCUGAAGUCCAGCUGACUGUGGCGAGACGAGCUUCACCCGAAAACUACGAAACCAAUUUAGUACUGGACCAGACGAGAUCGCGCUUUGACUCUUCGUCGCCGACUCGUCU